rnacentral:rRNA from 1 species
GACGAACGCUGGCGGCGUGCCUAAUACAUGCAAGUCGAGCGGAGCGGCGGACGGGUGAGUAAUGCCUAGGAAUCUGCCUGGUAGUGGGGGAUAACGUCCGGAAACGGGCGCUAAUACCGCAUACUAUCAGAUGAGCCUAGGUCGGCUUAGCUAGUUGGGGGGGUAAAGGCCUACCAAGGCGACGAGCCUUAACUGGUCUGAGAGGAUGAUCAGUCACACUGGAACUUAGACACGGUCCAGACUCCUACGGGAGGCAGCAGUGGGGAAUAUUGGACAAUGGGCGAAAGCCUGAGCCAGCAACGCCGCGUGUGUGAAGAAGGUCUUCGGAUGGUAAAGCACUUUAAGUUGGGAGGCGUUACCAACAGAAUAAGCACCGGCUAACUUCGUGCCAGCCGCCGCGGUAAUUC